UAGGGAAUCUUCCACAAUGGACGAAAGUCUGAUGGAGCAACGCCGCGUGAGUGAAGAAGGGUUUCGGCUCGUAAAACUCUGUUGUUAAAGAAGAACAUAUCUAAGAGUAACUGUUCAGGUAUUGACGGUAUUUAACCAGAAAGCCACGGCUAACUACGUGCCAC
rnacentral:rRNA from 1 species